UACGUAGGGAGCGAGCGUUGUCCGGAUUCAUUGGGCGUAAAGAGCUCGUAGGCGGCUUGAUAAGUCGGAUGUGAAACCUCCAGGCUCAACCUGGAGUCGCCAUCCGAUACUGUCAUGGCUAGAGUCCGGUAGGGGCCCACGGAACUCCUGGUGUAGCGGUGAAAUGCGCAGAUAUCAGGAAGAACACCCGUGGCGAAGGCGGUUCUCUGGGACGGUACUGACGCUGAGACGCGAAAGCGUGGGGAGCGAACAGG
rnacentral:rRNA from 1 species